UGGGGAAUCUUGGACAAUGGGCGCAAGCCUGAUCCAGCCAUGCCGCGUGGAUGAUGAAGGCCUUAGGGUUGUAAAAUCCUUUCGCCGAGGACGAUAAUGACGGUACCCGCAGAAGAAGCCCCGGCUAACUCUGUGCCAGCAGCCGCGGUAAUACAGAGGGGGCAAGCGUUGUUCGGAAUCACUGGGCGUAAAGCGCACGUAGGUGGAUAGUUAAGUUCGGGGUGAAAUCCCAGGGCUCAACCCUGGAACUGCCUCGGAUACUGGCUAUCUCGAGUCCGGAAGAGGUGAGUGGAAUUCCUAGUGUAGAGGUGAAAUUCGUAGAUAUUAGGAAGAACACCGGUGGCGAAGGCGGCUCACUGGUCCGGUACUGACACUGAGGUGCGAAAGCGUGGGGAGCAAACAGGAUUAGAUACCCUCGUAGUCCCUGAG
rnacentral:rRNA from 1 species